UCCCUGGUGGCUCAGACAGUAAAGAAUCUGCCUGCAAUGCAGUAGACCCAGGUUUGAUCCCUGGGUUGGGAA
rfam:TPA: Bos taurus chromosome 21, whole genome shotgun sequence.